rnacentral:rRNA from 1 species
GUGGGGAAUAUUGGACAAUGGGCGAAAGCCUGAUCCAGCCAUGCCGCGUGUGUGAAGAAGGUCUUCGGAUUGUAAAGCACUUUAAGUUGGGAGGAAGGGCAGUAAGUUAAUACCUUGCUGUUUUGACGUUACCGACAGAAUAAGCACCGGCUAACUUCGUGCCAGCAGCCGCGGUAAUACGAAGGGUGCAAGCGUUAAUCGGAAUUACUGGGCGUAAAGCGCGCGUAGGUGGUUUUGUAAGUUGGAGGUGAAAUCCCCGGGCUCAACCUGGGAACUGCCUCCAAAACGGCAUGACUAGAGUACGGUAGAGGGUAGUGGAAUUUCCUGUGUAGCGGUGAAUGCGUAGAUAUAGGAAGGAACACCAGUGGCGAAGGCGACUACCUGGACUGAUACUGACACUGAGGUGCGAAAGCGUGGGGAGCAAACAGGAUUAGAUACCCCUGUAGUCC